rnacentral:lncRNA from 1 species
GGCUCUAUUCAACCAAAUAGUCAUCAACUUAGUUUCCCUUGUGUUCAAAUAACCCAAUGAGUUGGCACGAACUACUUAUCUCUCGACCUCACAGUUCAGACUGGAUUGGGGUAAGGUUUUCAUGGAUAGGCAAUACCAAUUUCGAGUUCAUUCCCACCUAUAUAACUUCCUAUGAUCAUCAAGCCUAGGGUUUUAAGUUCUUCCUUUCCCAACCAACUAAUCUGAUACGAAACUUUUUCAAUCA